GUAGGUGGCAAGCGUUGUCCGGAAUUAUUGGGCGUAAAGUGCGCGCAGGCGGGUCCUUUAAGUCUGAUGUGAAAGCCCACGGGCUCAACCGUGGAGGGUCAUUGGAAACUGGGGGACUUGAGUACAGAAGAGGAAAGCGGAAUUCCAAGUGUAGCGGUGAAAUGCGUAGAGAUUUGGAGGAACACCAGUGGCGAAGGCGGCUUUCUGGUCUGUAACUGACGCUGAGGCGCGAAAGCGUGGGGAGCAAACAGGAUUAGAUACCCUGGUAGUCCACGCCGUAAACGAUGAGUGCUAAGUGUUAGGGGGUUUCCGCCCCUUAGUGCUGCAGCUAACGCAUUAAGCACUCCGCCUGGGGAGUACGGCCGCAAAGGCUG
rnacentral:rRNA from 1 species